AGAUUGAACUGAAGAGUUUGAUCCUGGCUCAGAUUGAACGCUGGCGGCAUGCCUUACACAUGCAAGUCGAACGGCAGCACGGGCUUCGGCCUGGUGGCGAGUGGCGAACGGGUGAGUAAUACAUCGGAACGUGCCCUGUAGUGGGGGAUAACUAGUCGAAAGAUUAGCUAAUACCGCAUACGACCUGAGGGUGAAAGCGGGGGACCGGUAACGGCCUCGCGCUACAGGAGCGGCCGAUGUCUGAUUAGCUAGUUGGUGGGGUAAGAGCCUACCAAGGCGACGAUCAGUAGCUGGUCUGAGAGGACGAUCAGCCACACUGGGACUGAGACACGGCCCAGACUCCUACGGGAGGCAGCAGUGGGGAAUUUUGGACAAUGGGGGCAACCCUGAUCCAGCAAUGCCGCGUGUGUGAAGAAGGCCUUCGGGUUGUAAAGCACUUU
rnacentral:rRNA from 1 species